rnacentral:rRNA from 1 species
CCUACGGGUGGCAGCAGUGAGGAAUAUUGGUCAAUGGACGAGAGUCUGAACCAGCCAAGUAGCGUGAAGGAUGACUGCCCUAUGGGUUGUAAACUUCUUUUAUAUGGGAAUAAAAUGUUCCACGUGUGGGAUUUUGUAUGUACCAUAUGAAUAAGGAUCGGCUAACUCCGUGCCAGCAGCCGCGGUACUACGGAGGAUCCGAGCGUUAUCCGGAUUUAUUGGGUUUAAAGGGAGCGUAGGUGGAUUGUUAAGUCAGUUGUGAAAGUUUGCGGCUCAACCGUAAAAUUGCAGUUGAUACUGGCAGGCUUGAGUACAGUAGAGGUGGGCGGAAUUCGUGGUGUAGCGGUGAAAUGCUUAGAUAUCACGAAGAACUCCGAUUGCGAAGGCAGCUCACUGGACUGCAACUGACACUGAGGCUCGAAAGUGUGGGUAUCAAACAGGAUUAGAUACCCCAGUAGUC